AUGUGUAUCUUCAGUUUGUUCCCCACCCCCCUUUCUUUUUCUUCCCCUUUGUUAGGUACCCCCAAAUUUCUCUUUUUUUUUCAUUUCUACCUCCCAUGCCCUUUUCUAUUUGUACAACCUGCAUGGAAGAGAAGUCAGCAAGAAAAAUCAUGGAUUCACCAUGACGACGGACCUGUCAGUGUUAUUUUGUAUAGCAGCUCACAAACUGAGGAUGUUGAGGUUCCGAAAACCUUAAAGCCCGUUGUAAAUUAUAGCAGCUCCUCUGCCUUUUGUCGUUGUAACUUGUAUCGCGGUAACAGUAGUAGAAUGUUUGGUAGCAGAUUAUCUAUUGCAGGUUCCCAGGCCACCAAUGGGAACAUCUAA
rnacentral:rRNA from 1 species